UACGAAGGGGGCUAGCGUUGCUCGGAAUCACUGGGCGUAAAGGGUGCGUAGGCGGGUCUCUAAGUCAGGGGGGAAAUCCUGGAGCUCAACUCCAGAACUGCCUUUGAUACUGAGGAUCUUGAGUUCGGGAGAGGUGAGUGGAACUGCGAGUGUAGAGGUGAAAUUCGUAGAUAUUCGCAAGAACACCAGUGGCGAAGGCGGCUCACUGGCCCGAUACUGACGCUGAGGCACGAAAGCGUGGGGAGCAAACAGG
rnacentral:rRNA from 1 species